GACGAACGCUGGCGGCGUGCCUAAUACAUGCAAGUUGAGCGAUGAAGCUUGGUGCUUGCACCCAUUUGAAGAGCAGCGAACGGGUGAGUAACGCGUGGGGAAUCUGCCUUUGAGCAGGGGACAACAUUUGGAAACGAAUGCUAAUACCGCAUAACAACUUUAAACAUAAGUUUUAAGUUUGAAAGAUGCAAUUGCAUCACUCAAAGAUGAUCCCGCGUUGUAUUAGCUAGUUGGUGAGGUAAAGGCUCACCAAGGCGAUGAUACAUAGCCGACCUGAGAGGGUGAUCGGCCACAUUGGGACUUGGACACGGCCCAAACGCCUACGGGAGGCAGCAGUAGGGAAUCUUCGGAAAUGGACGAAAGUCUGACCGAGCAACGCCGCGUGAGUGAAGAAGGGUUUCGGAUCGUAAAACUCUGUUGGUAGAGAAGAACGUUGGUGAGAGUGGAAAGCUCAUCAAGUGACGGUAACUACCCAGAAAGGGACGGCUAACUACGUG
rnacentral:rRNA from 1 species